rnacentral:rRNA from 1 species
CACGUGGGUGAUCUGCCUCGCACUCUGGGAUAAGCCUGGGAAACUGGGUCUAAUACCGGAUAUGACCUUACAUCGCAUGGUGUUUGGUGGAAAGAUUUAUCGGUGCGAGAUGGGCCCGCGGCCUAUCAGCUUGUUGGUGGGGUAAUGGCCUACCAAGGCGACGACGGGUAGCCGGCCUGAGAGGGCGACCGGCCACACUGGGACUGAGACACGGCCCAGACUCCUACGGGAGGCAGCAGUGGGGAAUAUUGCACAAUGGGCGAAAGCCUGAUGCAGCGACGCCGCGUGAGGGAUGACGGCCUUCGGGUUGUAAACCUCUUUCGACAGGGACGAAGCGCAAGUGACGGUACCUGUAGAAGAAGCACCGGCCAACUACGUGCCAGCAGCCGCGGUAAUACGUAGGGUGCGAGCGUUGUCCGGAAUUACUGGGCGUAAAGAGCUUGUAGGCGGCUUGUCGCGUCGAUCGUGAAAACUUGGGGCUCAACCCCAAGCUUGCGGUCGAUACGGGCAGGCUUGAGUACUUCAGGGGAGACUGGAAUUCCUGGUGUAGCGGUGAAAUGCGCAGAUAUCAGGAGGAACACCGGUGGCGAAGGCGGGUCUCUGGGAAGUAACUGACGCUGAGAAGCGAAAGCGUGGGUAGCGAACAGGAUUAGAUACCCUGGUAGUCCACGCCGUAAACGGUGGGUACUAGGUGUGGGUUUCCUUCCACGGGAUCCGUGCC